UACAGAGGGGGCAAGCGUUAUUCGGAAUUAUUGGGCGUAAAGGGCGCGUAGGCGGCUUGGCAAGUGGAAGGUGAAAUCCCUCGGCUUAACCGAGGAACUGCCCUCCAAACUGCUUCGCUUGAGACCGGGAGAGGUGAGUGGAAUUCCCAGUGUAGCGGUGAAAUGCGUAGGUAUUGGGAGGAACACCAGUGGCGAAGGCGGCUCACUGGACCGGUACUGACGCUGAUGCGCGAAAGCGUGGGGAGCAAACGGG
rnacentral:rRNA from 1 species